UUGGGUGAAAUGGUUCAGCUUUUGUGGUUUACUUCCACCUACAGCCAUGCCACCCAUUCAACUACAACGUCUUUGAUCUAGAUUAUUUCUUCACCAUAAAAACCCAUUUCUUUCUCUAUCUACAUACAUAUAUUAUAUAUAUAUAUUCACUACAUGCGCCAUUUCGAGCCCCAUUUAGAGCACCAUUAAGCACCACUGCAGGUGCUAUUCAAAGCGUCGCUGCAGGCACCAUUUAAGGCGUUCCAAAAGAGCCAUUUUCGGUGCUUUUGGGGCUGCAGUUUCAGCCACUACAGGCCCCACAUUCAAGCGACAUUAAAGCGCCGCUGCUGGUGCUGGUCAAAGGGGCUGCAAGUGCCAUUUCCAAACGUCAUUCAGGCGCCAAUUCUGAGCAUUAUUCAGCCCCAAUUCUGAGCGCCAUUCAGGCACUCAUUCCAGCAUCAUUCAGGCACUCAUUUCAGUGCCAUUCAAGCGCUGAUCUUUGCCGCUGCAAGCCCCCGUUACGAGCGCCAUUCAGGCGCUGUUCAAGCGCCGAUGCAGGUGCCUGUUCUGAGUGCCAUUCAGGCACCACUGCAAGCGCCAUUCAGGAACUAGUCAAGCGCCGCUGCAGGCACCAUUUUCGGGCGUUCCAGAAGCGCCAUUUGAGGUGUUGUUUUGGUGCCGCGGAUGAUGCGGCUGCAGGAGACUAGGGUGGUUAUGAUGCCAACGUGCUGAAUGUUGGAACAAAUAAAUUAAUAAAUAAAUAAAAAAUAGAGAGAUAUUGGGUUUUUACUUUUGGACCCAUUAGGCUUAUUAGUGAC
rnacentral:lncRNA from 1 species